AACUACAUGAAUAAAGCCAGUUUGACUGAUACAACCUUUCCAACUAACUCCUCCUCUUUUUUCUCCUCUACCUCCUCCUCCCCCCUUUUCUCCUCCUCCUCCUCUUCCCCAAAGCUAAGCUUUCAAAUCAAUGUUUAGAAGGGAAAACAGAAGACCGAUUUUUAGAUCCAUCACAUUCACUUACCAAAGGCCCAGCUUUAGUUUGGCAACUCUGCCCUUAAAAAAGCAUUUCUCUGAGCAUACACCGGAGGACUACCAGCCCCAACUUUCAGGUGGUGAAGUAUUUUGUCCAAAGUGCUUCCUUUAUGACUCAGUAGAAGGGUCAACCAAAUCAGAAGAUCUCCUUCCAAGCCAUGAUUGAAGAGCACACCAAAGAAGAUCACAAAUGCCACAGGCACGAAUCUUCAAAGAACGAGCAGGGUUAUAUAUCAUCUCAUUUUGUUCUGGAGGAAAAGAAAGCAGAUCCUUGUGUCAGCCUUCAAGUUAUAUAACAGGCAACUAUCUGCAGGCGCCCAAAAAGAAGGGAGGAGGAGGAGGAGGAAAGAAGGGAAAAGUAAAAACUUCCCCCAUUGUUGACGGCAUCCCACCAGAAGAAAUGAACAAGGAACAGGUGGAGGAGCACAUUUUGCGAAUCAGAGAAGAGCUGGACAGGGAAAGGGAAGAACGCAACUACUUUCAGCUGGAGCGAGACAAGAUCCACACGUUCUGGGACAUCACCCGGAGGCAGCUGGAGGAGAAGAAAGCUGAGCUACGGAAUAAGGACCGAGAGAUGGAGGAGGCUGAGGAGAGGCACCAAGUGGAGAUUAAAGUUUACAAACAGAAAGUAAAGCAUUUGCUGUAUGAGCACCAGAAUAACCUGACGGAGAUGAAAGCUGAGGGAACCGUGUCCUUGAAGCUGGCUCAAAAGGAGCACCGGACGCAGGAGAAUGAGAUGCGCAAGAACAUGCGCUGUCUCAAGGUGGAGCUCAAGGAGCAGGAGCUGGCCAAUGAGGUGGUGAUGAAAAACCUGCGCCUGAAACAUGAUGAGGAGAUUACUCGGAUGAGGAAUGACUUUGAGAGACAAGUCCGAGAGAUCGAGUCCAAAUAUGAUAAGAAAAUGAAAAUGCUGCGAGAUGAGCUGGAUCUUCGGAGGAAGACAGAAAUCCAUGAGGUUGAGGAGAGAAAGAAUGGCCAGAUCAACACGCUGAUGAAGAACCACGAGAAGGCCUUCAGUGACAUCAAGAACUAUUACAAUGACAUCACCCUGAACAAUCUGGCCCUCAUCAACUCUCUCAAGGAGCAAAUGGAGGACAUGAAAAACAAGGAAGACCAUUUAGAAAAAGAGAUGGCGGAAGUGAUGCUCCAGAACAAGAGGCUGGCAGAGCCACUGCAGAAGGCCCGAGAGGAGCUGAUGGACCUCCAUAAGAAACUAGUCAACUAUGAGAAGGACCGACAGGCCCUGGCUAAUACAAAAGCUCGCCUGAAAAUCACCGAGAAGGAAUUGAAAGACUUGCAGUGGGAACAUGAAGUGUUAGAGCAGCGGUUCAUCAAGGUUCAAGAAGAACGAGAUGACCUGUAUUCCAAAUUCAGCAAGGCCAUCCUAGAAGUGCAGCAGAAAACAGGCUUUAAGAAUCUGAUUCUGGAGCGCAAGCUGAUGACCCUCUCGAAUGUGAUGGAGAGGAAGGAGGUGCAGAUGAACGAGAUCCUCUCCGCCUCCAACCUUGACCCCGAAGCCCUUGCGGUGGUCUCUCGAAAGCUGGAGGAUGUCCUGGAUUCUAAAAACAGCACUAUCAAGGACCUGCAGUAUGAGCUCGCCCGUGUUUGCAAGGCGCACAACGAUUUGCUGCGAACGUAUGAAGCCAAGCUCACUGCCUUUGGCAUCCCCCUGGACAACAUGGGCUUCAGGCCUCUGGAGACCUCAGUCAUAGGACAGACCCUGGGGCACGGCCCCGCCGGGCUGGUCUCCAUGCCAACGUAACCUGGACAGACCACGGCCUGCCUUCCCCUCCACAGGCCGAGGGGCUGAGGCUGGCGACACCUCCAGAGACGAUGGCGCUAGAAUGCCCCUCUUUCAUAGAUUUAAGCUUCCUCUGUAGGUGGUGUAGGAGAAUGGACUCAGCAGCAGGGGCACGUGGAGCUUGUGGGCCUCGUUUGUGAUGGUGAAAACAACCUGAGAGACAGAAGCAGUGGGCGGGUGGGACUCAGGCAGAUGUCUCAUUUUGGAGUUUCUGGUGUGAAAUCAUGAUCAUCCUAUGAACGUGGCGAGAAGAAAGCGAAGAAAGACAAGCACCCAUGAAGCUGAAUUUACCUGGAGUAGUUCUUCCUGGAGAGAGAGAGAGACAGAGAGAGAGACAGAGAGAGAGAGACAGAACCUCAUUACCUUUGGUGAUUAAAGGUGUCAAAUUCUGGCUUGUAUAAACCUGUGGUAGUGGUUUACUAAUAGUUCAUUUUUAUAUAGCACUUUUCUUACAAGAUGAGGUAGAACCAACCUCAGAGACUUUCUUACAUUAUGUAGGAUUUCUUACCAUGGAUUCCUUACCGUGGACAUGAUACUGGUUGGUUGAGAUCUUACCAAAUUCCUUUUUCCAUGAACGGGUCUUAGAAUUUGGGGUAGAGUUCUCCCAAAGGGGAAACAGGAUCUGAAAGAUUUAAUAGAGUAAUAAAGAUUUUCCAGGAAAUUAUACAUAUUCACUCACAAGCUAAAUAUAGGCUUGAUCACAUUCAAACUAACUGUCCGUGGUUCUCUAGUGUCCGAGUUAGUCUGUUGUAGGCUUUGUAUAUUUUUGUGUCUGUUCUCUGUUCAGAAUGUCCAGAGUAGACUCUGACCACUUUUUCCGGAUUGAUGUCUAGCCAGUUGUCUUAUAAAAUUUCAUUUCCAGUAGAAUGUAAGCUCCUUGAGGGCAAGGAAUAAUUUGGUUUGUUUUUAAAGUCCUUGUAUCUCACUCCCAGAACAGUGCCUUGAACAUGUGUUUAAUAAAUGCUUAUUGAAUUAAAA